UGUAAACAUCCUCGACUGAAAGCU
rnacentral:ncRNA from 4 species